rnacentral:lncRNA from 1 species
AGCAAUUAUCCUCUUUACAGAUACCACAUAAAUGAUUUCUCCUUCAGACUAUAACAUAGAGACAACAUACUCAUUGUGUAAUGAAGAGGGUAAUAUCCCUUCAAUGUGAACAAAGCUAGGCCCAUCAUUUUCACAGAGGCCAAUAUGAUGUAGUUCAGGUUCACCUCUGAAGAAUUACCCUUAUUGUCCAUACAUAGAUGCUAAAGCAACAGCUCUUAAACUUAUUUUGACAGUGAUCAAAAUUUUAUUUUAUUUUUUAUUUUUAUUUUUUUUUGACCUCUGAACUUUUUAUUGGCCUCCUGCUCCCCCAAGGGUCCCCUGCUUCUGCUGGCCUAAUGUCUCAGAACUUUGGUGUCGUUGGUCUCAGACACCACUUUGCCAUCCACUAUCCGGCGGGUGGUCGUCUUUUGGAUGGUUUGCAUGGAGUUGCUGCUGCUGUUCAAGGCAUCACUGAGACUGAAGUCCUCCCCAUCUUCCAGCAGGCGACGGUAGGUGGCGAUCUCAGCCUCCAGCUUGACCUUGAUGUUCAACAGAGCCUCGUACUCCUGGGCCUGGCGCUGUCCCUCUGCCCGGGUCUGUGCCAGCUCUAACUCCAGGUGCAGCAGGAUCCCGUUGAGCUGCUCCAUCUGCAGGGCAUAGCGGGCCUCCACCUCCCUCAGGCUGUUCUCCAAGCUGAUCUUUGUAUUUCUCAUGGAGUCCAGGUCAAUCUCCAAGGACUGGACUGUACGUCUCAGCUCUGUGCUCCCGGAUUUUGAUCUCCAGCUUCCGGUUCUCGGUCUCCAGGCUCCUGACUCUGUCCAGGUAGGAGGCCAGGCGGUCGUUCAGGAUUUGCAUGGUCUCCUUCUCGUUCUGGAUGCCUCCCAUUCCUGCCAGACCCCUUGCCAUCCCCGCGGCCAGGCCCCCGACCCCCAUGCCGCUCCGGACGCUGGUGGAGCGCGUCACGGAGACGCUGGAACCAGAGCCCCCGGCGCCUGCAUAGACGCUGGCCGCGCUGCUGACCGGCCGGGCGCCAUAGCUGGGCACCCGGACGGAGCCCACGGACCGGUAGUUGGUGGAAAAGGAGGAGCGAGUGGUGAAGCUCAUGCUGCCCGGGGAAGAGAGCGAGAGGACAGGACUCAGGCUUCGCAGACGAACCAAAAUUUUAUUUUUAUCAAAAUAAAAUUUUUACAUUGUUGAAGCACAGAAAACAACAUCCCUGACUUAUCCAAUAUUUGUAACCUAUUUUUAAUUAUAAUUUAUGGAGAUACAGUUAUUUGCAAAUUGUUCAAUAAAAAUUUGUUUUCUUUUAUAACCGGACACAAUUG